AAAAAGCAACUUCUUAUGUGAACAUCGCACCUUCCGAGAAAGGCGAUGUCUUUAAAUGACUCUUGAAUGCUCAGUUGGACUGCAGCAUCAAAAAGGUCACCAUCCUCUUCUAGGUCACCUGAUGGAUCCAUUUUCCUGGAGAUGACAGAGGUGCUUCAGGGAUCAUGGGCUGUCUGGAGCAAAUUCGAAAGCUAUUAGUCUAUUAGCUAUUAUUUAUUCCCUGAGACUAGAGAAGCAUCGAUCUGUUGCUAGAGAACAGGAUGGAUCUCAGACGCGAGCCGAGGGGGAUGCAAUUUUUUUGGAAUCUAUUACUAAAUAAAUAAAUGUUUGAUUAA